GACGAACGCUGGCGGCGUGCUUAACACAUGCAAGUCGAACGGAAAGGCCCUGCUUUUGUGGGGUGCUCGAGUGGCGAACGGGUGAGUAACACGUGAGUAACCUGCCCUUGACUUUGGGAUAACUUCAGGAAACUGGGGCUAAUACCGGAUAGGAGCUCCUGCUGCAUGGUGGGGGUUGGAAAGUUUCGGCGGUUGGGGAUGGACUCGCGGCUUAUCAGCUUGUUGGUGGGGUAGUGGCUUACCAAGGGUUUGACGGGUAGCCGGCCUGAGAGGGUGACCGGCGACAUUGGGACUGAGAGACGGACCAGAAUGCUACGGGAGGCAGCAGGGGGGAAUAUUGCACAAUGGGCGGAAGCCUGAUGCGGCAACGCCGCGUGCGGGAUGACGGCCUUCGGGUUGUAAACCGCUUUCGCCUGUGACGAGGCGUGAGUGACGGUAAUGGGUAAAGAAGCACCGGCUAACUACGUG
rnacentral:rRNA from 1 species